rnacentral:misc_RNA from 1 species
CGCACAUUGCGCCCAUGAGUAUUCUCCUGGGCAUGCCUGUUCGAGCGUCAUUUCAACCCUUAAGCCCAGCUUAGUGUUGGGAAUCUACCGUGGGCGUCUGGCCCGGUAGUUCCCGAAAACCAACGGCGGACUUGUGGUAUCCUCUGAGCGUAGUAAUUCACUUCUCGCUUCUGUCAGGUGCUGUAGGUCUGGCCGCCAAACCCCUAAAUUUUAAUGGUUGACCUCGGAUCAGGUAGGAAUACCCGCUGAACUUAA